AUGCUUACUUCGGCAGCACUUAUACCAAAAUCGGACUCAGACAGAGAGGCUUAGCAUGGCCUGGGCAAGAGUGACAUGCAAAUUCAUGAAGUGUUUCUUUUUUUU
ensembl:snRNA U6 U6 spliceosomal RNA